GCCUCCAUCAGCUCAGCUACACCAUGAUCUCUGCAGCUCUGCUUAUGCUGUUGGCAGCCUCCAGUGUGAGGAGUGACGUGGUACUCACUCAGCCGAGCUCCACGAUGACACAGCCUGGAGAAUCAUCGGCGCCGACGUCCAUCUUCGCACUGUCACAGUGUGGAUCUGACAAUGGAUUAGUAACUCUGGGUUGCGUCAUGUCUGGAUUCCUGCCCCCGGACUCACAGAAGUUCAAAUGGAAAGACCCAAGUGGACAAGACCUUACUGACUUCAUACAAUACCCAGACAUUCCCAAAAAUGGAACGUACUCCAAGAUCAGCCAGAUUCGCGUACAGGCAGCAGACUGGGAAGCAAAGAAAACUUUCACCUGUGAAGUGGACGGCGCCGCCGCUAAGACGCCUGGAGUAACUACGGCUGGUGUAAAAAAGCUAGAUCCCAUCAGGUUAUCUGACCAGCUCCCGGUUGAGCUAACCCCGCCAUCAUCAAGAGAAAUAUUCCUCUAUAAUAAAGCAGAGCUGCAGUGUAUCACCAGAGAUACAGAAUCAGCUCUGAAUGGUACUAAAGUCACAUGGACGGUAGGAGGACGAGAUCGGAGUGGCAGCGCUACCAUUCAAAGAGUCCAACUGGAAAAUGGCCUGUCAGGCAUGAUCAGCAAACUGCAGGUGGAUUUGAAUGAGUGGUUCUCUGGAGCGGAGAUUGAGUGUCGCGUGUCCGAUAAGCACAAUAAGCAAGUGAAGGGAAGCCCACAGAAAAUAAUGAUCAAAAAAGGUGGAGCAGAUCCUGAAAUGCUCAUCUACACCCUCCCUGAGGCAAAAGACCCAAAGCGUGAAUCUGUGGUGUGUGAGGUCAGGGGCUCUUCUCUAGGAGAUGUGUACAUCAUGUGGCAGGUGAAUGGAGGACCGUACCAGGAGGGAAAGACCGGCGUUGUGAAACAACAGAAUGGCAGCAAGUCGCAUGUCAGCAUACUGACAGUCAAUUCAUCCGGUUCAGACUUAACUAAGUUCACCUGCGCGGUCAGGCAUAGUGGCAUGAAAAACUACACUUCUCCAAAAAAGGAGGAUUACUCAAAACGUGAGCCUGGGGUGGGAGAUGAAGAUGUCCUGCUCUGUACGAAGAGUGAGGAUGAGGAAGAGGACGAAUACAGCAGCAUGUGGUCCACCACCACCUCCUUCAUAUUCCUCUUCCUCUUCUCUCUGGUCUACAGCGCUAUCCUCAGUCUUGUCAAGGUGAAGCACUGACAACAAUGAACAGAAGAGAGGGGAAUCAGUGGCAAGUCAUCAUAUUUUUGUGCAGCUUGUAUCUCUAUAGAUUGUCUACAAAUGUUGUUAUCUAAAUCUCUGUCCACAUUGUACUUCUCAGUUCUAAAUUGUAAUUUAUGGGCAAGUCAUUUCUGUGAAGUUGUAUUUGCAUUACAGAAAUGUUUCCAUUUUUGUUUUUUGUUUUUUAUCACAUUUUGUUCUUAUCACUGAAUGAACAAAGAAAAAGAUUAAUCACUGAUUAGUUUUAUACUUGAUUGUUUUAUCAACGUUUGUUUCAGCUUAAUUGAAAAUAGAGGAGUCUUGCACAUAUAUAUAGAUAGAGCUUAACUGCAAUACUUUUUUAACAAAUAAAAAAUAUUGUGCUACACAGGCUGUUCAAUUCUAUUGCAUGA